rnacentral:tRNA from 1 species
GCGGAAGUGGUGGAAUCGGUAGACACGCUAUCUUGAGGGGGUAGUGGGGCACCCCGUGCGGGUUCAAAUCCCGCCUUCCGCA